rnacentral:rRNA from 1 species
CGAACGCUGGCGGCAGGCCUAAUACAUGCAAGUCGAGCGCGCCCUUCGGGGUGAGCGGCGGACGGGUGAGUAACGCGUGAGUAACCUACCCUAUACACAAGGAUAGCCAUUGGAAACGAUGAUUAAUACUUGAUAAGACUACAGAGCCGCAUGGUUCAGUGGUAAAAGCCCCGGCGGUAUAGGAUGGACUCGCGUCUGAUUAGCUAGUUGGUAAGGUAAAGGCUUACCAAGGCGACGAUCAGUAGCCGACCUGAGAGGGUGAUC